GAAAUAUUGAGUCACAUAUCCCACAAUCUGAUUACAGGGAAAUUUACUUUAGAGAAGAACCCAAACCCAACUGUUCAGGUAGACAUUUAUAUGUUAACCCAUUGAGUGCCAGCACUCUCCUGUUGACGAGUAAAAUUGUCAGUGUUAGACACUUAGACAAAGUAACAUAAUAAAGUAGGAUGCAAUGCAACCUAAUGGGUUCAUUAUGGUAUGUCAGAUAAAUUGACUCGUGCAAUUUUUCACAUAUGAGUUCUGGCAUUUACAAGCCCUAGUUUGAAACCAACUUUAAAGCCUACAACAGGUAAUUGCAGCCAACUAUUAAGUUAACCCAUUAGGCUGCCAUGCACCCAAGCUUGUUAUUUUACUUUCAGACCAUCUAAUGGCAGGCAAUUUUACUUCUCAAGGGGACAGCCUUGUCCAUUAAUGCAUUAAUUGUGUUUCUUAACUCCCAAAGUUUCAUUUUACAUUACAAUAUAUCACAACUGAUCUAAGGUUCACAAAUAAUGUCUAACUGAAAUGUUGGGCUCUACUCCAAUACUGGGGACACCACCACUGAAGCUGCUCUCAAACAUGUCAUCAAUCAAUUUAAAAUUGUUUAAUUGUCAGGGCAUAAUUUUGGUCAAUGCCAAGGUGGCUGAUACAUGUACUGUACACCUUUUAUUCCUACAAAUACUUUUAGAACUACAACUCUAAUGACUGUGGGAUUUAUAGAACUACAGUAUGUUUGGCCAGAUGAAUAUUGUAAACCUCUGAAUAUAAGCCCUGGGCUAACUUAUAUUUCUUUGUACUUUGUAAGCAUUUUUGAUGGACUGAGCUGUUGGAUUCCUGGCCCUCGCUGCACUAAUAAAUACCUGUCGAGGGGCUUACAUUAGAGGUGGCUUAUAUUCGGAAUCGCCCGAGUAAAUAUGGAUGGUGGGAUUAUACAUAGGGGGGGGGGGGUUAUAUGUUUGUGGUAAUUGCUUGAUUGCAAUGGGUAUUGAAUGGUUUGAAUCUGAUAUCUUUGGC